rnacentral:rRNA from 1 species
CCUACGGGUGGCUGCAGUGGGGAAUAUUGGACAAUGGGCGCAAGCCUGAUCCAGCCACGCCGCGUGAGUGAUGAAGGCCUUCGGGUCGUAAAGCUCUGUGGGGAGGGACGAACCGCUGCACGUUCAUAGCGUGCAGCAUGACGGUACCUCCUUAGCAAGCACCGGCUAACUUCGUGCCAGCAGCCGCGGUAAUACGAAGGGUGCAAACGUUGCUCGGAAUUAUUGGGCGUAAAGCGCACGUAGGCGGCCCGACAAGUCGGAUGUGAAAUCCCUCG